CCCUUAGAUGUUCUGGGCCGCACGCGCGCUACACUGACGAAUGCAACGAGCUUAUAACCUUGUCCGAAAGGUCUGGGUAAUCUCCAAAUUUCGUCGUGAUGGGGAUAGAUUAUUGCAAUUAUUAAUCUUCAACGAGGAAUGCCUAGUAAGCGCAAGCCAUCAGCUUGCGUUGAUUACGUCCCUGCCCUUUGUACACACCGCCCGUCGCUCCUACCGAUUGAAUGGUCCGGUGAAGCGUUCGGACCGUGGCCUUUGGACGGUUCGCCGUCUGUUGGCUGCGGGAAGUUCGUUAAACCUUAUCAUUUAGAGGAAGGAGAAGUCGUAACA
rnacentral:rRNA from 1 species